rnacentral:rRNA from 1 species
UUGGGGGAGUCAAUGCACUAGCCAUAUGCCUGUCUCAAUGUUAAUCUACACAAGUGUAAGUAUGAACAAAUUCAUUCUGAUAAGUUGUGAAUGGCUUAUUAAAUCGACUGUAGUUUUUUUAAAGGUAUCUACUACUGGAAUAAUAAUACUAAUUCUAAAUCUAAUAAGUGAAAUAAACCUUAAAUUUUGGAAUAGAUGCAUUUAUUUGAUAAAAGUUUGAUGUGGGCUUUGCAAAUUGCUAUGAUGAUUCAUUAUAACUUGACAGAUCACACGACCAUCAUAUCGGUGAUGUAUUAUUUAAAUUUUUGCACUAUCAACUUUCAAUGGUAGGAUAGUGGCCUACCAUAGUGGUGACGUGUGAAAGAAUAUUAGGGUUCAAUUCCAAAGAAGGAGCCUGAGAAACGACCACCAUAUCCAAGGAAGGCAAUAUACAUAUAAAUUACCCAAUCCUGGCAUGGGGAGGUAGUGAUAAUAAAUAAUAAUAUCUGGCUCAAUAAGUCUAGUAAUUGGAAUAAGUACAAUAUAAAUCAAUUAAUGAGGAUCCAUUGGAGGGCAAGUCUGGUUCCAGUAUAUGCGGUAAUUCAAGCUCCAAUAGCGUAUAUUUAAUUUAUUGUAUUUUAAAAGCUCGUUGUUGUACUUUGGGAUGGGUUGGCUAGCCUGCCUAUAGUAUGCACUAAUCAUCUCAUCCCUUCUGUUAGUGAUGCACUUCUAGCCUUAACUGGACAAGUCGUUCCACCGACGUUGUUACUUUGAGGAAAUUAGAGUGCUCAAAUCAAGCCUACACUCUAUAUACUUUAGCAUGGGAUAACAUUAUAGGAUUCGUUCCUAUUACGUUGGCCUUUAGGAUUGGAUUAAUGAUUAAUAGAGAUAGUCGGGGGCAUUUGUAUUUCAUAGUUAGAUGUGAAAUUAUUGGGUUUAUGAAAAACGAACAACUGCAAAAGCAUUUGCUAAGGAUGCUUUCAUUAAUAAAGAACAAAAGUUGGGGGAUUAAAGAUGAUCAGAUACCAUCCAAGUCUUAAACAUAAAUGAUUCCGACCAGUGAUCGACGAAUGUUGCUUUUAGGACUCCACUGGUACCUAAUGAAAAAUCAAAGUUUUUGGGUUUUUUGAGGAGUAUGGUCGCAAGGCUAAAACAUAACGGAAUUGAUAGAAGGGCACCACGAGGAUUUAAUCCUUCAUCUUAAUUUGACUCAAUAUGGGGAAACUUACCAGCUCAAGGCAUAGUAAUAAUUGAAAGACUUAGAGCUCUUUCUUAAUUCUAUGGGUGGUGGAGCAUGGUCGCUCUUAGUUGGUGGAGAUAUUUGUUAGGUAAACUCCAUUAAAAAAUGAGACCUCAGCCUUCUAACUUGCUAUAUGGUGGUAUAUCUUCAUGGCCAGCUUCUAAGAGAGACUACGACCUUUUAGGACGUGGAAGUUUGAGCCAAUAAUAGGUCUGUGAUACCAUUACAUAUUCUGGGCCGCACACGCACUACGCUGAUAUAUUCAACGAGUUGAUAGCCUUAGCCAAUAGGUACGUUUAAUCUUUUAAAUAUUAUCGUGAUAUGGAUAGAUUAUUUCAAUUAUUGGUAUUCAAUGAGGAAUUCCUAGUAAGCACGAGUCAUCAGGUCACGUUGAUUAUGUCCCUACCCUUUGUACCCACCAACCAUUGCUCCUACCGAUUGAAUUAUCUGGUGAACUAUUCCGACCGUACAGACUUGUGUAGUUUGUUAUCACUCCAUGAGGCACUGUCUACAAUUAGGGAUAUUAGGGAAUGCAUCCCAAAUCAGCCAAUGAAUUCCAU